UCAAGAUUAAGUAAUUUCUCCUCCUCUAUGUUCUUCGUUACCAGAGGAUAGGAUGAACAGCCCGGAGACUGGUACGACGCUCUUACGGUGGCCCUGUUUGGAUAAGGAACGAACGAAAUCUAGAAUAUAAGACAAUUAUCCGUAUUUUAUUUUCAUGACUCCCCAUUUUGGAUAAGGAACCAAUGAACCUUCCAUCUUUCCCCUUCCAAUUGCCAUCAUCAUAUUCAUUCCACCUUUUCAGUGCCCUCUGUUUUCUCAGAUUCACACCAAAAAUUCAACACUUUUACGGCUCCCAUUAACCAGAUCUAAACAGAUUUCGUCGAGUGGUCUUACCCGAUUCAUAUCUCAAAUUAGUUGUCGAUUCUGUUCGAUUUGAAUAUUCGGCAAGUGGGAUUGAGACCUUGUGGACAAGUCAAGCCGAACAGAUGGUGGGUUUGGAUGCUUUAUUUCUGGUUUGUUUUCAAUCUUUUUGUAUGAAUUUCACAACUGGGUGUUUUUAUUUUGGUUUAAAUUAGGGUUCUUCCCUAAUUUUAUUUGAGUGUUUCAGUUUGUGUAAUCCAGCAACUUUCUUAUCGAUUUUUGACCUGUGAUUAAGUGAUCUGUGUGGGAUUAACUGUUCAUUAAUGGGGUCUGAGUGUUUGGCAGAAACUAGGUUUGAUGAUAAUUAUUGUUUUAUUUUUUAUAAAGUAAUUAAAAGUAAAGGGGAAGGGAAAUUACCAAUUUACCCAUUAUGUGCAUGUCAUGUGACUAAUAAUUAACCAGGGUUUAGGGUUGAGUUAGACUCAGAGGCCAAAAUAGUUAGUUAUAGAGACCAUGAGGGCACAUAUAUUAAAAAUUCUUAUUUUGGGCUAAUAUAGUAAAACUCAUAUAACCACAGGGGCCAAAACGUAAUUUACUCAUUUAUUCUUUUUUCGAAAGAAACACUAAUGAACUUGAAGAAAGUCGUAAUGAAAAUCAAGAGGAAGAAAGUAAACGUCAGGCUGAGUUGCCGUUCUUUUUUUAGGUACUCAUCCUUUCUCUCGCCUCUUCGUAAAUAUUUUAGGUCUUUGUUUGUUAAAAGCAAUUGUUUUUAUUUGUGUAAUUAACGGUAAUUUAUAUGAUUGAAGACAACUUAUAUA